CUGACGUGCAUUUACAUGAAACCACAGUGCCAGAGCUAGAAGAUGGCUGGGGAGCAAGUUUGCAGACCUCCCUCAUCUGACAGAAAAGAAAUCAGAAAUUUAGAAACAGGUCAAUGGUAUGCCACAAGUUAAGGGGCUCUGGCACGCUAGACUGAGUCGGGGUUUAGACCUUCGAUAAAAGGAAUAAGGAAGACAAGACAGUCCUACUUCAUCAAGAGUGCAGUGAAGCAGUCUAUAACCAAGCCACAACCAUCAUUUUGUAUCAAGAUCUGGAUGUCCCGAUUGUUGACAGCUGGACCUUGCUUGCAUUUCAAUAAAGUAAGGGCCCAUGUAAAUAUUUGGGAAAUAGAAGCAGGAGGAGGAGAGUUCAGAGACACUCUUACAAUGCUUUGUCACAGGAAGAACAAAGUAAUAUCCGAAUCCUCCACCCCAGGUGAAGAUGCUGGCACAGUGACUGGAGUGGGCAUAACCGUCUGAAGUUUAGAGAGUCCCCAGGGGAGAAGAUAUGGUUCUUUGGAGAAGAGGUUUUGCUUUUCUUUCCACAGGAAAUGAGAGUUUGUGGAUUCAUCCUUGGUUAAGAAAAAACAAGGUUUGAUUAAGAAAGACUCCCUGAAAAAUCUGCAAUGGGAACAGAUGACCCAGAUGAUCCAGCAUUUCAGAGUACAUUUGUUGCAGUUUCCUCUGAGUUCUACAUCCAGAACUGCCUCAAGACCGCUGGCUGAGAUGAUUCAGCCUCACAGAACACUGCAAAUUCCAUGUAUCUAUACAAUAAAUGGUGAGCACACAUGUGCCUCCUUAUCUCUGUUGUGAAAAUUGUUGAAGAUCCACAGAUGACUCAGUUGUACAGGAAGAUUUGAAUUUAAAAAAUAUGUGUGCAACAAAUUCAUAACAAUCAAGGGAGAUUCCUACUAUGAGGAGAAAAUAAAAGCAAAGCAGAGGGCUGAGUAUGCCCAGCUUGAGAAAAUAUAGAAGCUAGGUUAGCCAAAAUCAGAGGUCAAGAAAUGUGCCUGAAGACACAUCUCCGAGGAUGCUCUGGGCUAUCUGGACUGGAACUACCUCAGAGGGGGUAAAGAAACACACCGAUCUCUGGGAUCCACCCCAUGUCUGUAUUCAAAACCUCUACAGCUCAUUAUGCAAGGUGAUAUCUGAGGACCACACUAUGCCAUUCCUCUAGGCCUUUAGACUUUCAAAAAAUGAGCAACAAAAUGCUACCUCAGGGGGAAAAUACUCUGGAUGGAGAGUAGAGUCUGUAACAGAAAGAGCAGCCUGGAAAAGAACAUCGAGAAAGAUUUAUGCCAGACACGAUGAAAUCCUGAAACUCCAGAAGAUGAUGGAGAACUGUGGGAAUCCUUGAAUUUGGAGAAGAUUUAAAGGGGAAUCCCUAGGAACUCUUCGCUGGGGAGAGAGACAGGUGCACCUGUCCAAGACUGGGCCCGCAUCCAUGUGAGGGUGAUGUCGUUGCAACCCUGGAGUCACUGCCAGCGAUGUCCGCCCCUUCAGCCCUCAGUUUGUUAGUAGGCACUUGCUUUCCCGCUUCCUCCUCAGGAGAUGUGAACACAAAUACAUUCUCCAAGUUAACUACUAAAUCGUGUGGCAUCGGUCUCAUGUUCCUCGGUUACCCUCUACACGAACCCCUCUUCCAGAGCUCCACAAGAACACAGCUGCAGGUGGCUUCCAGUCCAGACUCCUGUUCCAUUGACAAAGGCUUUAAUCGGUUCCCUCCGCCAUUCCAUAAUCUUGUUCUUUACUCUCCUGCACACAAAUUCUGUUUUUUGUCAGAAAAACUUCCUGCUGACCCCAACCAUUUCCCAUCUCCCUAUCUUUCUGUGCUAUACCAACUUUUUGUUUAUCUGUUCCCCGGAUUUGA